rnacentral:rRNA from 1 species
UUAUAAGAGACAGCAGCAGCCACGGGAAUACGGAGGGUGCAAGCGUUAAUCGGAAUUACUGGGCGUAAAGCGCACGCAGGCGGUCUGACAAGUCAGAUGUGAAAUCCCCGGGCUUAACCUGGGAACUGCAUUUGAAACUGUCAGGCUGGAGUCUUGUAGAGGGGGGUGGAAUUCCAGGUGUAGCGGUGAAAUGCGUAGAGAUCUGGAGGAAUACCGGUGGCGAAGGCGGCCCCCUGGACAAAGACUGACGCUCAGGUGCGAAAGCGUGGGGAGCAAACAGGAUUAGAUACCCGAGUAGUCCCUGUCUCUUAUAC